CACGUGCUAAACGUGUUUACGUGAACUGCGUCAUCUUUCGUAUUUUUCUUGUUCGUACAGCGAUGUGUUGAUCGCGAGAUUACGGUGCCGAGAUUCAUGACAUGCGUGUACGCUGUCUAACAGUCAUUAACGUGCUCCUUGUGGGCAUGGCGGCUCCGGAUGCGUCUAUUCCAAGGUGUACCUGCGAUGUUAGGAAUGUGGUGACCCGUUCCGCUGUCAAUCAGGAUGCACCCACGAGUAGAGGCGUAAGAAAUUAUCGACCGCACGGAAGCCUUGCCAGAAUACUGUACGACAAGCAAAAGGCGGACGAGCAACUCGAGGCAUACGACAAAACUCAGUGGUACAGAGUAAACAGUACCAAAAUCCGCGAGGAUUUGGUCCGUUUAUGGAUUCCCCUCGGAGCAGGUCCUCAGCGUGACCAACCUGACAAAACUGCCGAAAUCUUCCUAAUGAAAUCCGCCGAGAGAUCGGAUUCGAUACCAUUGCAAGCGUGGCAUUCCUUGGCAAGAUCUGCUUUGUCCUGGUUCAUUAGCCGCACGUCCAUAAAUGGGCUGCUGGGUCGUGGUUCCAUGCACGUCUUUUCUUGUGAACAGUUUCAAAAGCUGAUGGACGCGAGUGGCUUCCAAGGACCAUGGUAUUCCUUGGUGGACUUGGGGGCGGGCGACGGUGCCACAACCGCUCACGUUGCACAUCUCUUUGAAAAAGUUUACGCCACAGAAAUAUCGCCACCGAUGAGAUGGGCUCUGACCAAAAGGAAAUUUACGGUGCUCGACGUGGAAAAGUGGCACGAAACCGGCCCUUUCAGCGCCAUACUCUGUCUAAAUUUAUUGGACAGAUGCGACAGACCGAACACUCUACUGAGACGUCUGAGAACAUCCCUGGCUCCCGGUGGACGUCUCGUCGUGGCGCUGGUACUUCCGUUCUGCCCUUACGUCGAGUGCGGGGCAAGGGACGAUCACAAACCGUCGGAAUAUUUGCCGGUGAAAGGGAACGGUUUGGAAGGUCAGAUCGCCAGCCUGGUCGACCGAGUUUUCGCGCCGUUGGGCUUAAGGUGCCUCGUGUGGAGCAAGCUGCCUUACCUUUGCGAGGGCGAUCUCGGCCAGGCGUAUUAUUUUCUCGACGACGUGGUUUUCGUUUUAGAGGCACAGCCCGACACCUCGCGUUAUUCCGCCUCCGAGUGGACGGACACGGAGAGCCGUGGUAGGUGGCAACGUGCACGAACGAACUGGACGUGAUCGGAAAUGUUCGACGCAGGCAAGUCACACUUGUAAAAACAUUUUAAUUGAUUGCUGUCAUGAAUCAGAAUUAUGCAAGAAUACAGAAGAGCAAUACUGGCAAGCGACAACGAGCUUAAUGUGCAGAUACAGCGGUAGCAUUGGUGUGUAUCGUAUCAUUAAUUGUCCAUUUGUAAACGACGAAUGAACAAACGACGGUGCGCAUUUUACAACGAUCUUACUGUCAAAGUCGGUGCAGAAACUUGUACACGGUCUAUGGUAUAAAUAUGGCGCGAGAGCAAUAAAAACUCGGAAACGUGUUCUGAAACGGUUCACGUGCGAUCUUACAUCACACAUCUAUUGUUUAAUUCUCCUCGAUACUUGAUUUUUUUUGUACCCUCGUCAGACUUUGUUUCCGCGCUAACCUCAACUUCGUUCGGCAUGUAGAAUGUAUUUCAUCUAACUUGGUCACAGAAAAUAUCUUCAUUGCAGUAUUUGCGGCGCAGCUUGAUACAGGAAUAUGUGGAGGUGGCAGGAAACUUCUUAAUGACUGCACAAGCUGUAUGGUAUCCACUAGCGCUGUAACAAAAUGGACAUGCAUUUCAGUGUUUUCACUAACGAAGAAAGA